UUGGGAUAGCUCAGUGAGAGCAGGACGGCG
rnacentral:tRNA from 1 species